rnacentral:lncRNA from 1 species
CCUUGGCUUGAGAAAGUGGCACCUCCGGCCAAUUGGAACAUAAAACAUUAUUAUACAAAGGAAAAAAAAAGGUGAUUAGAUUAUGGUCUAUACUUUAUAGAACUUGACGUAAGAAUCAAGUAUUUAGGUAGACAACCCUAACCUUGGUUUAGCUUGACCAAAGAGCACGUGUUGAGAUCUUUACGUAACGUGAACGUCACAUGGUAUUACGUACAUCACAUCAUCAUAUAUACGAUUUGCAACACGAGAUGAAACGGACACAAAC